rnacentral:rRNA from 1 species
AACGAACGCUGGCGGCAGGCUUAACACAUGCAAGUCGAACGGUAACAGGCCGCAAGACGCUGACGAGUGGCGAACGGGUGAGUAAUGCAUCGGAACGUGCCCAGUCGUGGGGGAUAACGCAGCGAAAGCUGCGCUAAUACCGCAUACGAUCUAUGGAUGAAAGCGGGGGACCGUAAGGCCUCGCGCGAUUGGAGCGGCCGAUGUCAGAUUAGGUAGUUGGUGGGGUAAAGGCUCACCAAGCCGACGAUCUGUAGCUGGUCUGAGAGGACGACCAGCCACACUGGGACUGAGACACGGCCCAGACUCCUACGGGAGGCAGCAGUGGGGAAUUUUGGACAAUGGGGGCAACCCUGAUCCAGCAAUGCCGCGUGCAGGAAGAAGGCCUUCGGGUCGUAAACUGCUUUUGUACGGAACGAAACGGCUCUGGUUAAUACCUGGGGCUAAUGACGGUACCGUAAGAAUAAGCACCGGCUAACUACGUGCCAGCCGCCGCUGUAAAAC